UGCAUUGGCCGGGAAUCGAACCCGGGCCGCCGGUGUGGCAGGCCAGCAUUCUACCACUGAACCAUCGAUGG
rnacentral:tRNA from 1 species